rnacentral:rRNA from 1 species
CUUUUAGCUUUUCCGAAAGUCUAGUGGCGAAAGGGUGAGUAACACGUGGGAAACCUGCCCUCGAGAUCGGGAUAACCCCGCGAAAGCGGGGCUAAUACCGGAUACGUUUUAGUGCUGAAAUGCAUUAAAGGAAAGUUGGGGAUCCGCAAGGACCUAACACUCUUGGAUGGGCCCGCGGCCUAUCAGCUAGUUGGUGAGGUAAUGGCUCACCAAGGCUAAGACGGGUAGCUGGUCUGAGAGGAUGGUCAGCCACACUGGGACUGAGACACUGCCCAGACACCUACGGGUGGCUGCAGUCGAGAAUCUUUCGCAAUGGGGGAAACCCUGACGAAGCGACGUCGCGUGCAGGAUGAAGGUCUUCGGAUUGUAAACUGCUGUCGGCUGGGAAGAAAAAGUUGCUAGUGAACAAUUAGCAACCUUGACGGUACCAGCAAAGGAAGCCACGGCUAACUCUGUGCCAGCAGCCGCGGUAAUACAGAGGUGGCGAGCGUUGUUCGGAUUUAUUGGGCGUAAAGGGUCCGUAGG